rnacentral:rRNA from 1 species
UACGUAGGGACCAAGCGUUGUUCGGAUUUACUGGGCGUAAAGGGCGCGUAGGCGGCGCUGUAAGUCACUUGUGGAAUCUCCGGGCUUAACUCGGAACGGUCAAGUGAUACUGCAGUGCUAGAGUGCAGAAAGGGCAAUCGGAAUUCUUGGUGUAGCGGUGAAAUGCGUAGAUAUCAAGAGGAACACCUGAGGCGAAGGCAGUGUCCUGGGGAGUACCUGACGCUCAGGUGCGAAAGCCAGGGGAGCAAACGGG